UAUACCGUAGCUUGCUACACCAUAGACUGUGAGUUGCGAACGGGUGAGUAACGCGUAGGUAACCUGCCUAUUAGAGGGGGAUAACUAUUGGAAACGAUAGCUAAUACCGCAUAACAGUAUGUAACACAUGUUAGAUGCUUGAAAGAUGCAAUUGCAUCGCUAGUAGAUGGACCUGCGUUGUAUUAGCUAGUAGGUAGGGUAAAGGCCUACCUAGGCAACGAUACAUAGCCGACCUGAGAGGGUGAUCGGCCACACUGGGACUGAGACACGGCCCAGACUCCUACGGGAGGCAGCAGUAGGGAAUCUUCGGCAAUGGGGGGAACCCUGACCGAGCAACGCCGCGUGAGUGAAGAAGGUUUUCGGAUCGUAAAGCUCUGUUGUUAAGGAAGAACGAGUGUGAGAAUGGAAAGUUCAUACUGUGACG
rnacentral:rRNA from 1 species